UACGAAGGGGGCUAGCGUUGCUCGGAAUCACUGGGCGUAAAGCGCACGUAGGCGGCUUUUUAAGUCAGGGGUGAAAUCCUGGAGCUCAACUCCAGAACUGCCUUUGAUACUAAGGAGCUUGAGUCCGGGAGAGGUGAGUGGAACUGCGAGUGUAGAGGUGAAAUUCGUAGAUAUUCGCAAGAACACCAGUGGCGAAGGCGGCUCACUGGCCCGGUACUGACGCUGAGGUGCGAAAGCGUGGGGAGCAAACAGG
rnacentral:rRNA from 1 species